rnacentral:rRNA from 1 species
AUCAACGCUGGCGGCGCACAUAAGACCUGCAAGUUGCACGGACUUAAUCGAAAUAUUUAUAUUUUGAAGCGGUUAGUGGCGGACUGGUGAGUAACGCGUAAGGAACCUGCCUAUUAGAGGGGAAUAACAGUGAGAAAUCAUUGCUAAUACCGCAUAUGCCAUAGAUAUCACAUGAUAACAGUGGGAAAGGAGCAAUCCGCUAAUAGAUGGCCUUGCGUCUGAUUAGAUAGUUGGUGGGGUAACGGCCUACCAAGUCGACGAUCAGUAGCCGGACUGAGAGGUUGAACGGCCACAUUGGGACUGAGAUACGGCCCAGACUCCUACGGGAGGCAGCAGUCGGGAAUAUUGCGCAAUGGAGGAAACUCUGACGCAGUGACGCCGCGUAUAGGAAGAAGGUUUUCGGAUUGUAAACUAUUGUCGUUAGGGAAGAGAAAGGACAGUACCUAAGGAGGAAGCUCCGGCUAACUACGUG